rnacentral:rRNA from 1 species
CAAGAUGAGAUUUCCCAUAGUUUAACUAGUAAGAUCCCUGAAAGAUGAUCAGGUAGAUAGGUUCGAGGUGGAAGCGUGGCGACACGUGGAGCUGACGAAUACUAAUCGAUCGAGGACUUAACCAAAA